rnacentral:rRNA from 1 species
ACUCAAAGGAAUAGACGGGGGCCCGCACAAGCGGUGGAGCAUGUGGUUUAAUUCGAUGCAACGCGAAGAACCUUACCAGGUCUUGACAUCUGUAGAACCCUUACGAAAGUAGGGGGUGCCUUCGGGAGCUACAAGACAGGUGGUGCAUGGUUGUCGUCAGCUCGUGUCGUGAGAUGUUGGGUUAAGUCCCGCAACGAGCGCAACCCUUGCUAUAAGUUGCUAACAGGUUAAGCUGAGCACUCUAAUGGGACUGCCUGUGACAAGCAGGAGGAAGGUGGGGAUGACGUCAAAUCAUCAUGCCCUUUAUGACCUGGGCUACACACGUGCUACAAUGGAUGGUACAGAGAGCAGCUAAGCCGCGAGGUGGAGCGAAUCUCAUAAAGCCAUUCUCAGUUCGGAUUGCAGUCUGCAACUCGACUGCAUGAAGUCGGAAUCGCUAGUAAUCGCGAAUCAGAAUGUCGCGGUGAAUGCGUUCCCGGGCCUUGUACACACCGCCCGU